CAACGGCUCGUGGAGCGGCUACCCGGAGUGACAUCGCCGGUGUUUGCGGGUGGUUGUUGCUCUCGGGGCCGUGUGGAGUAGGUCUGGACCUGGACUCACGGCUGCUUGGAGCGUCCGCCAUGAGGAGAAGUGAGGUGCUGGCGGAGGAGUCCAUAGUAUGUCUGCAGAAAGCGCUAAAUCACCUUCGGGAAAUAUGGGAGCUAAUUGGGAUUCCAGAGGACCAGCGGUUACAAAGAACUGAGGUGGUAAAGAAGCAUAUCAAGGAACUCCUGGAUAUGAUGAUUGCUGAAGAGGAAAGCCUGAAGGAAAGACUCAUCAAAAGCAUAUCCGUCUGUCAGAAAGAGCUGAACACUCUGUGCAGCGAGUUACAUGUUGAGCCAUUUCAGGAAGAAGGAGAGACAACCAUCUUGCAACUAGAAAAAGAUUUGCGCACCCAAGUGGAAUUGAUGCGAAAACAGAAAAAGGAGAGAAAACAGGAACUGAAGCUACUUCAGGAACAAGAUCAAGAACUGUGUGAAAUUCUUUGUAUGCCCCACUAUGAUAUUGACAGUGCCUCAGUGCCCAGCUUAGAAGAGCUGAACCAGUUCAGGCAACAUGUGACAACUUUGAGGGAAACAAAGCUGGAAAUGCAGAAAUUACAAAAUGAAGCAGUGUGUGAGGGGCUGCGUACUCAAAUCCGAGAGCUCUGGGACAGGUUGCAAAUACCUGAAGAAGAAA
rnacentral:sRNA from 1 species